AGCACAUCCACCUGGAGGCACCAUGGAGGAGAGGGAUGGAGCAAACCCCAGCAGAAGGGAAUGGCACUUUUGGAAAUGUGGGCUCUGAGACCUGCUGCUGCUCUGAACCCAGCAAUGCAAAGGGUGGCUCCAAGGAUCCACAGGAAUCAGUGAAAAGCCAGGGAGUUCUGUGUGGAGAAGCCUCAUGGAUGAGGUCUGGUCCAGACUGCAUUUGCAAUCCUGAGUGCUGCAAUGUGACUGUGGCAGCAAAUUUGGGUUAAUCUGGAGUUUGGCUUUGGUGGCUCUAGGAGGCACUUCAUGAAAACCCAAACCAGCCAAGUCAAAUGAACAAACACCCACAUCCUUGGUAGCCUGACUCUGC